GGGGGGGGGUGGGGGGGUGGGUGGGACGGGGGGGUCGGGCGGAGGUUACGGACGGAAGUUUUCGGAUGGAGGACUGUAAUUCUUAGUGGCGGACGGGUGAGUAACGCGUGGGCAACCUGCGCUAUACCGGGGGAUAGCAGCUGGACACGGCUGGUAAGACCGCAUAAGUCGGCGAGCCCGCAUGUUUUUGCCGGGAACUGAGCCAUCAGGUAUAGGAUGGGCCCGCGUCCGAUUAGCCAGUUGGCAGGGUAAAAGCCUACCAAAGCAACGAUCGGUAGCCGGACUGAGAGGUCGGACGGCCACAUUGGGACUGAGACACGGCCCAAACUCCUACGGGAGGCAGCAGUGGGGGAUAUUGCACAAUGGAGGAAACGCUGAUGCAGCGACGCCGCGUGAGUGAAGAAGUAUUUCGGUAUGUAAAGCUCUAUCAGCAGGGAAGAUGAUGACGGUACCUGACUAAGAAGCCCCGGCUAACUACGUG
rnacentral:rRNA from 1 species